rnacentral:rRNA from 1 species
AGUCGUAACAAGGUUUCCGUAGGUGAACCUGCGGAAGGAUCAUUAAAAUACCGAUAAAAACACUGCUUUUGGCACUAAACACACGAACCUAAUUUUUUUUUUUACCUUCUAAGUUUCACUUUUUGUGAAUUUUAAAUAAAAAAACAAAACUUUCAACAACGGAUCUCUUGGUUCUCGCAUCGAUGAAGAACGCAGCGAAUUGCGAUACGUAUUAUGACUUGCAGACGUGAAUCAUCAAUCUUUGAACGCACAUUGCAUCGGGGGGUAUUCCCCCCGAUAUACCAUGUUGAGCAUAUUAUUUCUCCUUCGGGGCCUUACUUUCCAAAAUCUAAUCAACUACGUUAUUAGAAAGCCUAAUCUUCUCAGCAUGGCAGGACUACCCGCUGAACUUAAGCAUAUCAAUAAGCGGAGGAAAAGAAACCAACAGGGAUUGCCUCAGUAACGGCGAGUGAAGCGGCAAAAGCUCAAAUUUGAAAGCCUCGGCAUUGUAAUUUCAAGGUAAUUUCUCGCAUGAUCACUUUAAGUCCAUUGGAACAUGGCGCCGUGGAGGGUGACAGCCCCGUAAAAGUGUCAACGCAUCGAAAUUACCAAAGAGUCGAGUUGUUUGGGAAUGCAGCUCUAAGUGGGUGGUAAAUUCCAUCUAAAGCUAAAUAUUGGCGAGAGACCGAUAGCGAACAAGUACAGUGAUGGAAAGAUGAAAAGCACUUUGAAAAGAGAGUGAAACAGUACGUGAAAUUGUUGGAAGGGAAGGGCUUGCAAGCAGACAGGUUCGCCGGCCAGGACUCGUGGAGGAAGAGACAAAAAGCCUUGGGAGGGCGCCCUCGGGCUACUCCCUUGGAAACGCCUCCUCCCCUACAUCCCCUGGCGUAAUGCUUGUAAGCCGCC